rnacentral:lncRNA from 1 species
AGUCCAGGUAAUGGAGCAGAGACUGGAGCAGAGACAAGUUGUUCCCACUGAGCUCUCCUCAGAUUACAGAUUGGGAGUGGCAAAUCAAAGGCAUUGCAGCCUCUUUCAUCACUGCCGAUUGCUGAUGCCAACCAUGUGCCAAGUGCUUAAUACGUCACCUUAAAUCUUCUCAUCCACCCUCAGAGUAGCUGCAGCAUCAACCCAGUGCCCUGACUUUCAAGACGACUAUGAAAACACCCCAACUGCUGCUAAAUUACCAGCAACAAGGAUCUGAAAAGAAAGCUCAUGUGCACACAGACAUGGCUUUUCACCUACAAGUUUAAGGUAUUCAUCUCAUCACAUCUGUGGACUUCUUCGUGUUCAGGGAUACCAAGUAACAAACUAUAGCAUCAUCUCUGGUCCAGGACAUUCUUAUUCAAAAGAAAGAACACCGAAAUUGACCUUACCCUGACAAUAUGAUGGCUGAAGGAUUUAUGAUCACUUAUAACAUUUGAAAUUGAGGCGGAACCUGAAGAAUAAGACUCUGGUGAAAGGUCCUAUUUAUGCUUUUGAUGUCUUUCACUUGGACAUUUACCACAUGCCUAUUGGUAGGUUUGUUACAUAGGUCAGUUAAGGUGAUACAAGAAUAAAUAAAACACUAUCCCUA